CGUGCCUAACACAUGCAAGUCGAGCGGAGACAGUGAGUAGCUUGCUAUGAGCUGUUUUAGCGGCGGACGGGUGAGUAACGCGUGAGCAACCUUUCCCAGACAGGGGAAUAACACACCGAAAGGUGUACUAAUACCGCAUAAGACCACGGGAUCACAUGGUUCUGGGGUAAAAGAUUUAUCGGUUUGGGGUGGGCUCGCGUCCGAUUAGGUAGUUGGUGAGGUAACGGCCCACCAAGCCGACGAUCGGUAGCCGACCUGAGAGGGUGAUCGGCCACAUUGGGACUGAGACACGGCCCAAACUCCUACGGGAGGCAGCAGUGGGGAAUAUUGGGCAAUGGGGGGAACCCUGACCCAGCAACGCCGCGUGGAGGAAGAAGGUUUUCGGAUCGUAAACUCCUGUCCUUGGAGACGAGUAGAAGACGGUAUCCAAGGAGGAAGCCCCGGCUAACUACGUGCCAGCAGCCGCGGUAAUACGUAGGGGGCAAGCGUUGUCCGGAAUAAUUGGGCGUAAAGGGCGCGUAGGCGGCUCGGUAAGUCUGGAGUGAAAGUCCUGCUUUUAAGGUGGGAAUUGCUUUGGAUACUGUCGGGCUUGAGUGCAGGAGAGGUUAGUGGAAUUCCCAGUGUAGCGGUGAAAUGCGUAGAGAUUGGGAGGAACACCAGUGGCGAAGGCGACUAACUGGACUGUAACUGACGCUGAGGCGCGAAAGUGUGGGGAGCAAACAGGAUUAGAUACCCUGGUAGUCCACACUGUAAACGAUGAAUGCUAGGUGUAGGGGGUAUCGACCCCUUCUGUGCCGCAGUCAACACAAUAAGCAUCCCGCCUGGGGAGUACGGCCGCAAGGUUGAAACUCAAAGGAAUUGACGGGGGCCCGCACAAGCAGCGGAGCAUGUGGUUUAAUUCGAAGCAACGCGAAGAACCUUACCAGGUCUUGACAUCCACUUAAACUUACAGAGAUGUAAGGUGUGCUUGCACAAAG
rnacentral:rRNA from 1 species